rnacentral:ncRNA from 1 species
AAGCGUUCUCAGGGCGGGGCGAAAUUCCCCACCGGCGGUGAUGGCGACACGUUCGCACGAGCCCGCGAGCGCCUGCGGCCCGUCAUGGGCCGCAGGGUCAGCAGACCUGGUGAGAUCCCGGGGCCGACGGUCACAGUCCGGAUGAAAGAGAGCGCGG